UGUUUUACAAGUACUCCAGAUCAGUAGAUGGGCGUUUGAUUUUCCAGUGAGGGUGGCUUCCAGGGUCUCUUGGCUUCAAUACUGUACACACAGAAUUUCAGUGGCAGAUCUUGGUUAAAAUAACAACAAUAACAACCCCUCAUCUAUUAUAUUGCAGCCUGGCAAUUUAACUUAACUUAGUUUCACUGCAGAUAAUUAGCAACUUAAUUUAAAUUAAUUUCACUGCAUAUAAAUAACUUAAUUUAAAUUAACUUCACUGCAUAAAAAUAGCAACCCUAUACUCCAUGCAAAGUAGAAUGGCAGUGGAAUUUAUGUAGUGAAGAAAGUGACAAGUUAUUUUCCAAAUUUAAAGGAAACUUAAGGUUUUAUAGGGAAACAAAUAGAGGUAAAAAUAUUUUUAAUCCUUGUUUUUCUGACAAUUGUGUUCUGCUCUUAUAAAUAGAAAGCUCUACUUUCAUUAUUUUAUAAUAUAGUGAGUUCAUCAGGCACAUGUAUGAAAAUUGUAUAGUAAAGGUAGGUUUGUGUCCACUUGGUUGGUUCAUUCGACUUUGACACAUCAUUUACUUUAUCUCAAAUGGUUAUUUUUUAAGCCUUGGUUUUGUACAACAUGUAAAGGCGUCAGUCUCUGUGCAAUAUUAAAUCUUCUUUCAAGUAACUUUUCUUUGUGUCUCUACCUUUGUUUCUGCAUUGCUCCUGUGCUUCUGCGAACCGUAUUUCAGUGAGUAAUGAUGACAAUAGCAGCCAUGCCGUCUCCCAUUCUUACCACCGGAUGUGAAGAAAUUCUAGAUGCGAUCCAGCCAAUCUGUACUCGACUCUCAGUUCCCUCUUCUCAACUCACAGUGUCUUCCAAAGUCCAUGCCACAGCACAGCCUGGAAAAUCUCCCAAAGCAGUAUCUUGAGGCAAUGGUAGAGCUCAUGUCACAGCAUUGUAUGUCUCAGCCGUGGUGUCAGGGAACACUGGCUUCAUACAGUGCAUUGGGAAAGGUUCUCUACUCGUCUGAUUUUAUUGGUUGUUAUUAAUGCUGAAAGGCUUCGAAUAACACACCAGUGAAGUCAUCUUGACCUGGACAGAAAUUGAAUCCUUACAAGAAUUCUAGGAGCUUGGAAGGGGAUACUUUACCAGGUCUUCGUGUAGUCUCCACACUGCCUUCCACAAUGGUUGAACUAAUUUAGACGUCCACCAAUGGUGUGUAAGUAAUUCCUUUGUUCCACAACCUUGCCAGUAUCUAUUUCUUGACUAUUUAAUAAUAGCCAUUCUGACUGGUGUUAGAUGGUAUCACAUUGUGAUUUUUAAUUGCAUUUCUUUCAGGAUCGGUGAGGUUGAGCUUUUCUUCAUAUGAUUGUUAGCCACAUAUAUAUCUUCUGUUGAAAGUGUCUGUUCGUGUCCUUUGCCCUCUUUUUUUAUGGAGUUGGUUUUUUUUUCUUGAACAUUUGUUUAAGUUCCUUAUAGAUGCUGCAUAUUAGACUUUGGUCAUAUGCAUAGGUUGCAAAACUUUUCUCCCAUUCUGUAGGUUGUCUGUUCAUUCUGUAGAUAGUUUUCUUUUGCUGUGCAGAAAACUAAGUUUAAUUAGGUUUCAUUUGCCAAUUUUUGCUUUUGUUUGCAAAUAUUUGCUCCCAUUCUUUGGGUGUCUUUAUUUUUGUCGGUGCAGUGUGAAUCACAAAAGUUUCACAUUCUACUGAGGUUUAAUAUGCCUGAUUUUUCUUCUUCCCUUUUGCUUUCGGCAUCAUAUCUUAGAAAAGAUUGUUUAACCUAAGACCAGGAAGAUGUAUUCCUGUGUUAUUUUCUACAUUCUGGGCCUGUUUAGCUAUUAUAGAUAUAUGAUCAUUUUGAGUCACUUACAUUUUCAGUGUGAGGCAGGGGUUCGACUUGCAUGGAAUAUGCACUUGCUUAGAAAUAUUUUAUUAAAAACAUUUAUCCAUAUGUAAUUUAUUUGGUGACAUUAUAAUAUUAUUUCACUUUAAAUGUAUGUAUUCAUUUUUGAGCAUUAUAUUCUAUUACAUUGAUCAAGAUCUAUAUUCUUAUACUAGUACCAUAAAUCUUGAUUACUAUUACUUUGCAGUGAGUUUUGAGUCAGGAAGUAUGUAUCUCCCAU